rnacentral:rRNA from 1 species
AUUGAACGCUGGCGGCAGGCUUAACACAUGCAAGUCGAACGAGUGGCGGACGGGUGAGUAAUGCUUGGGAAUUUCGCUUAUGGAGGGGUAUAACUACGGGAAACUGUAGCUAAUACCGCGUACCAUAGGAUGAGCCCACGUGGGAUUCGGUAGUUGGUGGGUUAACGGCUCACCAAGCCGACGAUCUCUAGCUGGUCUGAGAGGAGGACCAGCCACACUGGGACUGAGACCCGGCCCAGACUCCUACGGGAGGCAGCAGUGGGGAAUAUUGCGAAAUGGGGGCAACCUGACGCAGCCAUGCCGCGUGAGUGAAGAAGGCCUGCGGGUUGUAAAGUUCUUUCGGUAGCGAGGCGUUACCUACAGAAGAAGCACCGGCUAACUCCGUGCCAGCAGCCGCGGUAAUAC